rnacentral:rRNA from 1 species
GACGUAGGGCGCGAGCGUUGUCCGGAUUUAUUGAGCGUAAAGAGCUCGUAGGCGGCUUGUCGCGUCGACUGUGAAAUCCCGCGGCUCAACUGCGGGUCUGCAGUCGAUACGGGCAGGCUAGAGUUCGGUGAGGGAGACGUGGAAUUCCUGGUGUAGCGGUGAAAUGUGCAGAUAUCAGGAGGAACACCGGUGGCGAAGGCGGUUCUCUGGGCAUGUCCUGACGCUGAGGAGCGAAAGUGUCGGGGAGCGAACAGG